rnacentral:rRNA from 1 species
UGAGGAAUAUUGGGCAAUGCCCGCAAGGGUGACCCAGCAACGCCGCGUGGAGGAUGAAUGUCGUAAGAUUGUAAACUCCUGUUAGAGGGGAAGAAUAGUACCGGUUGGACCGGUAUAUGACUGUACCCUUAGAGAAAGCCCCGGCUCACUACGUGCCAGCAGCCGCGGUAAUACGUAGGGGGCAAGCGUUGUCCGGAUUUACUGGGUGUAAAGGGCGCGCAGGCGGGAUAAAAAGUCAGUGGUGAAAUCCUACAGCUUAACUGUAGAACUGCCUUUGAUACUUUUAUUCUUGAGUUCGGGAGAGAGAGACGGAAUUCCAGGUGUAGUGGUGAAAUACGUAGAUAUCUGGAAGAACACCAGUUGCGAAGGCGGUCUCUUGGUCCGACACUGACGCUGAGGCGCGAAAGCGUGGGGAGCAAACA